rnacentral:rRNA from 1 species
UACGUAGGGACCGAGCGUUGUCCGGAAUCAUUGGGCGUAAAGAGCGUGUAGGCGGCUAUUUAAGUCCUGCGUGAAAUCCUGCGGCUCAACCGCAGACGGUCGUGGGAAACUGGAUGGCUAGAGUGCGGGAGAGGAGAGUGGAAUUCCCGGUGUAGCGGUGAAAUGCACAGAUAUCGGGAAGAACACCCGUGGCGAAGGCGGCUCUCUGGAACGCAACUGACGCUGAGACGCGAAAGCGUGGGGAGCAAACAGG